UCUCGUGGUGUGGAUUUUUCACACCCCUGAGAGACAUAGCAGUGCUGAUGUAAAUUCCCAGUGUAGACCAGUCCUUAGUUUGGCUGACUGUUUAUCACUCUUCGCUCUGCGCUCCGUAGCUGGGUAUGUUAAUGAGCUCUUUUGGGAAAGACUAUUUUGAGGAUGACUGAAGCUAAAUCACUCUAGAGAAAAGACUAGGGUAACCGCUUAAUGAGUAUUUAACCAAACUUUCCAGCUGAGUUUGAAUUUCAAGGCACGUAUUUAUGUUCCUGCUAAGUGUGUGCUGGAUACACAAUACGGCAACGUUCAGAGUCUCAGGAAUGAUUUCAGCUUUGAAAGAACAGAAUCUAAGGUCCCUGAUGCUCUGUAUAUACAAAAGCAGCAGCUUGCUGAAGCGUGCUGAUCUCUUACGAACUGUGGUCUUGGAUGGGGCUUGGGGAUUUUGACGUGUUUCUCUUUCCUGCAAGAUCUUUGCUUCAGGAAGGCAAGUGUUGCACGCAGGGUUACGCAUAGGCCCGUUAGUGAGCAGAAAGCUGUAACAGGGCUGAUUUGUCCAGCAUAACAGGGUGCGUGGCCCUGUAGCAAUAAAUGAAGGGCAACCAGAAGGGAUGGGUUCCUGUUCAAGUGAUUAAGACAACAGAGCCGAGAAUUUCUCAUUUCCUUUCAGUACAACUUGACCCAGGAGUCACUGUCUGUGUUGUACCACAGAAGGACUUUCUUAGGCUACUGUAUAAAAGUGACGCACUGCACUAUUUCAUGUCUCUGUAAGAGGCGAUUAGAAUACGUCAGUGAGGAAACAGCUUGACAAUGGCACUGAGACUCCUCAUCUGCUCCACACGCUGCUGUUCCACACAGGGCAUCUUUUUCUUUGUGCUUUAAAAACGUCCUUAUUUUGUUACUUUUGGCACUUUGUAGCUUUUGAGCUUCUUCACUGGAAGGGAACAGCCUCUGCUGCACCAACAUGGAAAGAAAAAGGUGGCUUAAACAGAAUAAAAAAGGAGUCUAGGCAACUAAUGAGAGUAGACUGUCAUACCUGCGUUCCUCUGUAUUGGCUCAUCAGUAAUGAUAAAUCUCUAGUCCCAGCCUUCGACCUCUCCAGGUUUUAGCAGGUCUUGCAAAUCUCUACUCUUGGGUUUCGUGCUUCCCUGCGCUCUGCUCCAUUGCUGCAGCUUGUUGCCAAGCAGAGAGAGUUAUUUUUUACUAUAGAAACACCUUUUGGCAAAUAGCUUCUCCUAUUUUGUAUAGCUGCGAAAAUCCUUGCUUCAGUUUUGUUUGAAUGAUCAGAUCUGUGGAUGGAUUGACUUUUCGAAUAAUAAAACCAUACGUGGAAUAAGUGUUCAGUCAUUGCCAUGAGAAUCCUACAUCAUAUUUGGGAGGUGGAGAAUCAAAGGGAUGGGGAGGAAAGAACAACACCCCCCCCCUACACACACACUCUGUGCUCUCUUCUUUCACCAGGCCAUUCUAUUCUGUAUAUGUUCUUAUACUGUGCUCAUCACUGUAGUGUCUGAAUAGCUGUGGGUCACUUGUUCUGUGGCCAGGAGCUGAGUUAAAUGCCAAUGCUGUUUCAUGUAUCAUGAGCUGGCAAUAACUUAUCUGGUAGUAUUGCAGUUGUGGCCUCACUCUAUCUUUCUUCUCCCCUGCCCUGUGGCUAAGCAGCGUUUUUAUAUAUGUAUAUAGGAGAGAGGCCAGAGCUCCAUUCUCAGCCUGGGGCGACAGUUGCCACUGAUGCUAUCAAGGAAAGUGCAUUGAUGCUUAAAGUAGCAUUGUUUUCUAUUAAGCGCCCUUUCCCAGCCUCUGGGUGUGGUUUUGAGCCCCAUGUUUACCAGGUCUUACACUGGUCCCCACAGUCAGCCAGAGAGAGACAGGCUCCUUGGUGGAUGUUGUAAAUUCUCUGAGAUACACUACUGGUUCAAUGAUGUAGACUUUAUAAGCUCAUGAUUAAAAGGAAGUUUCUGCACUAACUGGCUGAACACUUUUUGUUCUGAUGCCACUGUUCCAAACCCACCAAACACUGACCGAGAAUCUGGCUUAGUACCAUGAAGCCGACUGAGUAGUUCCUACAGCAAUAAGAGAAAUGCAAGAAGACAGUCAGAAUGAGAUGGGUCUGUCUUCACUUCCCUCUUCGAGUGCUGCCACUGGUCAGGUUUCACUACCCCUGUUCACAGGGCAUGAGAUUUUAGCAAGUAGUCUGCAUAUUUAAUGCCUUUCUCCACAGGCAAUCCUAUUGAAAUCAAAUGGGUGGCAGAAUCAAUUUCUGUACAGAAGCAGGAUUAGCUGAACUCAGGCUGCUAGUACCAGCGUAAUUGUGUGGGAUCGUUUAAAUCCAGGACGUCAAGUGGGAAAUAAGCAGCGAUAGCAAACAAGCUAUUUAGAAACAAUCCUUGAGUCUUUGCAAACUGCCAGCCUCACUGAUAAAGCCUACAGGCUGAGAAAUAGAGAAAAUGAUAGACAAGCAGAGUGAAUUAAGGAGAAUGGGUUUUGAUGGGGCAGGAGCAGCAGCUUUUCAAACGCAUCCAGUGUUCUAGUCAGAAACACCCCAAACAGCUACAUUUCUCUAAGGAAUAAGAUGGCAGGACUGUCAGGCUAGAUAGUCAACAGGAAUUCACUACAGUAACAAAUAGCCAACGCUAGAAUAGCCUCAUUCUUGCUCUUACAAGUAGUCAAUCUAAUUUACCAAAGAAAACAGCUAUAGAGUCAAUGCAAGUGCUUACUCAAAGGCUUUGUCUGACUGCACUGUUUUCACAUGAAUAGAGAUCGUAUUACUCAGCCCUGGCUCAUGCCUGAACUUGAUGAGAGCUGGAAGUAAGGUGAGAGCUCCUGGAGCUUGUUCUUUGAGGAGGUGAGAGGCUUUCUAGACUAGAUAAGGGUCAGAUAAAAUGGAGGCAAUGAAGAGUGAAAUGGGAAAAAUGUAAUUUUCUUUCAUUCAAUGAGAUUCUGUUACAUGUGCACUUAGAAAACAGCCUUCCACCAGCUGCUGUGCUAAUGUAAAAAAAAAAAAAUCUAUAGUCUAUGCUGGAUGGAAUUAUGAAUAUUUCCUCCCAGCGCUUGCCCAGCUAUAUCACCGCUUGUUCAUUUGUUUUAUUAUUAAGAUACAAAUGUGGAUAAUCAGAAAAAUGUUUUACGCGCCUGGGGAAUGCAGUCAAUUUUCAGCUGGCUUGCAAAGGAAGAAACAAAGUUCUGCUAUCAGCAAGAGGUGGCAGCAGGAUUGCCAACCAGGCGACCAAAACCUGACCAAAACCUCGAGUGAGUGAGGAGCCGGGCUGUCCUGAGUGGCUCAGAUAAACAAUGAAAUGGCAUGACUCAGAACUAAAGAGAGAAGAUCAACCAGCAGAUGUGGGGCAUAGUGAAACUGAAAUCUUUCUCAAAGGUGCCCAAGUGCUAAAUAAACCAGCUUGUCUACACAACAUGGCAGUGUCUUGAGUUUGUUGGUAGUGUUGUCCAUGGAAGGAUGUGCUCAAGAGUGAACAACUGCACCCUGUUUAUGGAUGUGACUCAAAACAGUCUCUCAGAUCUUAUCUACAUGGGAAAAGUUUUUGUUUGGAAUAAAUUUAGGGUUUUUUGGGGGGGUAAGGAGGGGGGAGAGAGAAAACUACCUUGAAUCCACACACUGAAAGUUUCUUUUUUGAACUAUCUGGCAUCUUACUCUGUAUCAAUUAAUCCCCUUUGGAAAUAUUAAUAAACUCCUAUAAUCAAUCCAUCCAUCCUCCAUCUUGUCCUGGCAGAGGCUGAAUGCAGCAGACGGUAACAAGGGGCACCUGUCAUUUGGGAGCUGGCCAGCUGUUUGUACACAUCUCCCAUGGCACUGCUUUAAGUCAACAAUCACAGUCUCCCAGAAGGAAAGGAAGCCAGAGGAGGAUGGUGGAACCAGUUUUUCUGCUCUGGCAGUAGAACUGGGGAGGAGACAGUACAAGAUGACAAGACAGGAACUGCAGAGCUACUGCUACCAACUAGAAACUUGGGAGGCCGCUUGCCUUUUUCGCUGCCAGGUGUUCUGAAUCGACCUGUGAGAUCCAGGUAGCUGCUGCAGGAUGUCUUCCAUCUUAAAGAUGUUCGGAAGAGAAGACAAGAAGGAUCAGGGAAAAGAGAAGGAGAAAGACAAG